GUUCAUGCUGCACGGAGCCGGCAGGUCUUCUGCCUCCUCUGCCAGGCCAGAGAAGACAAACCCGUCUUUGUCCUCACAGUCGGAGGGGACCACGCCAAGCGGGCUGCCUCAAAAACAUGUCCCUGGUGUGCUCCUGAUCUGAAUAAAGCAUCCCAGCCACUGGAUCUGAAAUGCUGGGGGAAAGGAAAUAAAAUUGCCGUACCUUGGAGGGUAUGUGGAAUGAGAUGAGGGGGAUACUGAGAGCAGAGAGAGAGAGAGAGUGAACUAUUUUGGGUGUUAGUUAUAAAAAUGCCAGCGCUGAUGCACACAGACUAAGGUUUUAAAGGUAUGAAUCAGCUGGAUUAUGGAUUAUUAGAACUGUCACAUCUGUCUCCCCCUUUUAUAUUUCUAGUCUGGGAAUAUUCUCCCUUUCUUCUUCCAGGAGACUCUUAAAUGUGCCUUCCGGAGAGAAACACUCCUAGUGCCUUAGCCUGAUGGGCGGUAGAUGCCAGAGGAAAGGGCACCAGAACAUGGGCAGGGAUGGGAAAAUUGGGUAGGACAAGCUGAAUCAAUGUUUUCCCAAACUUAUCUGCAAAGCUGAUGGGAUUUAUCAACUAAACCAAACACUGUGAGACUAAAUUUGGAGAAUUGCAUGACUAUCUCUUGAUGCUACCUAACAGAAAUCUCGUCCAAAAUAUAAAAGACCCCUUUCGAGAGAAAACUUUUCCAAAAAAGGACCCCUGAGCAGAAACUGAGCGCUUCAGUCACUCAUUCCCUGGGCCCACACAAACCUUUCUCAGAAACGACACAGAGGAGAUGAGCUGGAAUUAUCCAGCUCACAGGAAGAACGCAAACCCUGGGAAAGGAAGCUGGUGAGUUACACUCUGACGGGCUGAGCUGGCUCACCCAAGUCCUUCAAGAAAGAGGGGAAGUGCACAAUCCGAAGCCAACGCCAAUACUCACGAUGGGAAGUCUGUGGGUGAGCAGGCACAGGACACGCACGUCCUUGGAGGAAGGGCUCUUCUAAUCCUUUGCCCCACGAUGCAAGCUUAGAGUGACAGCAGCAGCUCAAGUCCUCAACACAGUGGACCUCCCUGUGGGGUUUUCAUUUGGGGUUUUUUUCUUUCUUGUUGGCACCCACCAAGCAUCUAGGAAGAUGUCUCCAACCAGAGGGUAUCUUUGCCCGGCACCCUACCCUUCCUAUACUCCCUACACUCGCUGGAAGUACCUGCCUCCGCCUGGCUGGAGAGAUAAUCACCUGCCUGAAAUCAGAUGCUUAACCCAUUACGACUCGAUCAAGGUUUGGAGCAAGAAAGCAUAUUAGGUGAAGCUGGCCUAUGGCUUAAUGAAAACCCAAGCCCUGUAAACAGGCAAGCUCCGAGCAGGCAAGGACCCUUGAGAACCUCUGAAGGGGCUGCAUGCAUCCUGGGGUUUUGUUUAACCAGACAGGCAGGGCACCGAAACCCAGGUCUCCUGUUUGUAGGUAGUCUCAGCAUUUCCACCGCUAGGAGAUUCAAGGAUAACAGCUUUUUACCUAAAAAAUGUAACUGUCUUCUCAUCCACCAUCACUGCGAGAAAAUGAAUUAUCCCAUUGAUAAACGUCAGUGUGAAAUUAGCCUUCAAUAAAUGAACAACGAACAGUUUCUUUUAAAGUUGAAAUGCACAAUCUAACUAAAUUCAAUUAUUAAAUGCAUAUAAGAUAUUAGAUAUAUUUUAAUUUCCCUCUCUAAAAUAAUUCACACUAAGAGAAAAUAACUUAGCAACAUAACCCCUAUCAGGAAGGACAUUUUAUUCUUAACCAUGCUACUUCUGGGUUUUAUACAUUUUCUGAAAUUACAUACUUCCCCCUGGAUCUGUUUAAUCAGAACUUCGCGGACACCACAGUUCUGAUUUUAAUGUCAAUGGAAUGCCGUAAGCAAAGAAAAGAGACUCUCCAUAUUGAACGUCUGGCUUAGCCAUUAACUGUGUGAGCUGGACAAGUCGUG